rnacentral:rRNA from 1 species
UACAGAGGGUGCGAGCGUUGUUCGGAAUUAUUGGGCGUAAAGAGCGCGAAGGCGGCUGGUCAAGUCCGAUGUGAAAGCUCCCGGCUUAACUGGGAAAUUGCAUCGGAAACUGAUCGGCUGGAAGGUGGGAGAGGGUAGCGGAAUUCCCGGUGUAGUGGUGAAAUGCGUAGAUAUCGGGAGGAACACCAGUGGCGAAAGCGGCUACCUGGCCCAUUCUUGACGCUGAGGCGCGAAAGCUAGGGGAGCAACCGGG